UUUGACUGCAUUUAUUUUUCUCUUUUAUAGAACUAUGAUGACACAUUUCUCAAUAUCUAUACAUAGAAAGUUUUAACAAAUUACUUGGUGUUCAAUAUGGCCCAGUGUGAGGAGCAAAGAACUCCUGGGAGCCACAGACUCAAGUAGAAUUUAGACCUAGCCAUAGGGGGAUAGAACAUUUUACUCACAAUGUACCUAAUUCUUUUGCACAUAAGAGGCAAAUUGGAAAGGUAAAGUUUUUAUAAUGCUCCAUUUGAGCGCAGAAUUAAAACUGCAAAGAGUCAAAGGUCAACACUACCUUACAGAAGGGAGUAAGCCACCUGAACUAUCCAGUUGUUCACAGGUUAUGCUGAGCUCAUUGCAACAGUGGAGAAAGCAUUCUCUGGAAGAGAUUGUAUGACGUUACUCAUAUUCCCAUCAGUCUAUCUUGUCUUAUGACUCCAUUAUCUGGAUCAUGUGUGGAUCUGUAUCUUUUGUUUCCUUUGAUUUUCAGUUUUACGGUCCUCGCAGGCCUGGUAAUUUCUAAAUAAAUGCUAUAUGUUAUUUAUGAAAAAUGUAAAU
rnacentral:lncRNA from 1 species